AAGUCGAACGGGCCCGCAAGGGUCAGUGGCGCACGGGUGCGUAACACGUGAAGAACGUAGCCAUCGGCGGGGGAUAGCCGGCCCAACGGCCGGGUAAUACCGCGUACGACCUUCGGGUGGCAUCACCUGGGGGUGAAAGCAGCAAUGCACCGAUGGGGCGCUUCGCGGCCUAUCAGCUAGUUGGUGAGGUCACGGCUCACCAAGGCUACGACGGGUAGCUGGUCCGAGAGGAUGACCAGCCACAUUGGGACUGAGACACGGCCCAGACUCCUACGGGAGGCAGCAGUGGGGAAUAUUGCGCAAUGGGGGCAACCCUGACGCAGCGACGCCGCGUGUGGGAUGACGGUCUUCGGAUUGUAAACCACUGUCGCGAGGGACGAAAAUCUGACGGUACCUCGAAAGGAAGCACCGGCUAACUCUGUGCCAGCAGCCGCGGUAAUACAGAGGGUGCGAGCGUUGUCCGGAAUCACUGGGCGUAAAGGGCGCGUAGGCGGCUUGGUAAGUAGGGGGUGAAAUCUCAUGGCUCAACUGUGAGGCUGCCUUCUAGACUGCUAGGCUCGAGCACAGUAGAGGCGAGUGGAAUUCCCGGUGUAGCGGUGGAAUGCGUAGAGAUCGGGAAGAACAUCGGUGGCGAAGGCGGCUCGCUGGGCUGUUGCUGACGCUGAG
rnacentral:rRNA from 1 species